GAUGGCCAUAUCACGUUGAAACACCGGUUCCGGUCCGAUCACCGAAGUUAAGCAAUAUGGAGCCUGGUCAGUAACUAGAAGGGUGACCUCUUGGAAAUACCAGGUGCUACAAG